AGUGGGUGACAGAGCCAUCCAGGGCUCCUGACUCCAGGUCCUGUGUGUUACCUCGAAAUAGCACUGGACUUGGAGUCAGAAGGCCUGAGUGGAGUCGCCUUCCCCACUCUCUGGCUGGGUGACCCCGGAGCAAGCCAUUUUAACUCUCUGAGCCUCCUUUCCUCCAUCUGUCAAAUGGGGUUGGUGGCGCCACAAGAGAAGGCCCGCGGUUGCUUGGGUGCCAAGUAUUUAUAGAAAGACCGCUGUGCAUUUGCCCUCUACUCUGCCUCUCCUGAGAUCCCGGUCUCCCUCUCUACACACAGCGUAAAGACCUUUUGGUCUCCUGGUGGUGUCACACAAGUGGUUCAGAUGUGUCUGUGGAGCCUGCUGUGCUUUCUCACUUUAGAUAUCAGUCAACAGAACAAAUGGAGGCAACUUCAGGUCUCAAAAGAGAAGCAAAGGCAAAAUGGGGACUUGCCUAGGAGGUACAUUGAGACUUACGAUGCUGGCUGUGUGUCCUUGUGGAAUUCAUUUUCCCUGUUGAAGCUCGCUUUUCUCAUCUGCAGAUUGGGACAAAUGAUCCAGUCCUGUGGACCAAGCAGGGCUGUUAUGAGAAUCAAAUGAAGUAAUAAAUCUCUUCCCGAUACAUUCGCUCAGCCAGCAGCUGUACUCCCCGUCUAUCCUGCCGCAGCCCCCAUCCAGCCAAAUCCAGGGUGAGGUGAUCUGCAGCCUGCAUUUCCUGGGGGCCUUGGAGGCUUAGAAGUUAUAAUAAAAGGAGCACAACCGGAAGAGAUUCUGAUUCUAGGAUGAGGCAUCUGGAAGUAUACAAGUGCCCUUGUUUUUAGACCUGAUGAAAUAAAGAAAUGAGUGACAAAGCUUAUAGAGGAUUUGCUUUCCUGUCAGUCACUCUGGGUGCAUUCCCUUCUGUUGGGAGUUGGUCUCAGUGA